rnacentral:snoRNA from 1 species
UUGCAUGCCCUUUAGGGGCUGGGAACUAUACAUAACAUGCUACAUUAAAAUAGUUGUCAGGGCUUCAAAUAUUAUGGAAUAGGUUGAGUGAUAGCAUAUUUCUUCUACACAA